CGGUGAUCAAUUGCGAGUUGGAGCUGAACCGGAUCACGUGUGCCGUGGGAGCCCGAUUGCAAGUGACUACAAGCAAUCGGAGAGCAAUAUUCGGUUGGUUGUGCUCUACCAAAGCGAUUAGAUUCACACGCGAGCGGCGCGGCGAUGCGAGGAAAGGGCGUAGCUCCCUAGUUAGCGCUCUACCACCGAGACCAGAGAUAACAGUACCCUGAGUCGGCUACUUAGGGAUGUAAAAGAAAAGAAAAGAACAAAGCUGUAAUAAUCUUGUUAAAACUAGAUUUUAUUUGGAAGCUAAAAAGAGAAUGAAAAGUAUAAUAUGUGAUGUAAAAUGUAUGUCAGUUGAAUGCUUAUAGUAGUAUAGGUGUAUUUAUGUUUUC